AAAAUGAUUAAUUUUAUGUUAUAUAAAUUUUGCCUCAAUAAAAAGAAAAGGGAAUGUAGGAGGAAGGAUCAGGUCUGGGUUCUGGCAUGGUUCCAGGAAGAAGUACAGGCACAGUGAGGGUCCCACAGGCUUUCCUGCUAUACUUGCAAUCAGCGAGAAGGUUGUAGGGCGAAGGGUGUGGGUGCCCCUGCCCCUUACUCGCCACACAGCUCAGGCCCCUCCCUUCACUGCCUGUGGCAGCCCCACUGUCCUCCAAGCUUCCUUCAGUGGGGUCCAGGAGUGGAGUGGGGUCUCUGUGUGCCCAAAGGCUCCCUGCCCGUCGCCAGAGAACAGGCCUAGCAGUAAAUUGGUCCUAUAAGCUCAUGUCCUGCCCCCAGUUUGGGGUCCCAGGCUCCUGGGAAACUGCUCACUUCCUGGGGCCCCAGCUGGGAGCCUCCCAAUGGGCUGGUCCGCUUGGCCGCUGCCCCUUCUAAACAUAGCCUUCCUGCUAACAAAAAUCACCCAGCAUAGCCAUCACCACCGCCCUUUGCCCCUGUGGCCUCAAGACACAGGACAGAGCAAGACACAAAGGAGAGUGCUGAGAUGGACAGACGAACGGCAGCUGAGCUGGGAGGACCCAAUGGCCCUGGCACUAGCUUCAGCUAAGGCUUCACACGGCCCUUUCCUGCCGACCUAAAGACCCAGUCAGGCCACUGUCCCUACAAACUGACCAUAUUUACCAAGGACUUUCCCAGCUUCAGUACAGGAAGUCCUGUCUCCCCCACCCCAAAUCCCUCAGAACCAACAAGCUGAGAUGGCUGGUCACCACAUCUGCUUGUCUUGCAGGGGCCGCAGAAGAGAGGUGACAGGGCCGACAGGCCAAAAGUCAGGAGGGCCCAGGUUCCUGUCCCCACCCGGCCAACAACAAGUUGUGUACCUAAUGGCUCAGAACACUGUGUCCUGGUAUGUUUGAGCAGGAUUUGAAUCUCUCCUCACUUCAAACAAAGAAAAACAAAAACAAAAGACACUGUUAUGGACUGAAUUGUGUACCCUCACACUGACAUGUCAAAGCCUUGACCCUUAGGACCACAGAAUGUGACUGCAUUUGGAAGUGACUAUGUUAAAAAAUGGGGUUGUGAGUAUGAGCCCUAAUCCAAUAUGAUGGGUGUCCAUACAAGAAGCUGAGACACACCCACACCCACGGAAGACCACGUGGGGACACAGGGAGAAGACGCCCAUCUGUAAGACAGAAAGAGGCCUCAGGAGGACUAACCCUGCAAAUCCACCAAGCUAGAGAGUGGAUUCAUGGUUGCCAAGGGCUGAGGGGGGCGGGGAGUGACUGCUCAUGCAGACAGGGCUUCUUUUGCAGGGGGAUAAAAUAUUCUCAAACUGAUUGUGGUUGAUAGUUGCACAACCCUGUGAAUAUACAAAAAAAAAAAUUAUAUACUUAUACAUUAAAUGGAUAAACUGAAUGGUAUGUUCAUUCUAACUCAAUAAAGAGAUUUUUAAAAAUCCUCUAGGACUUGCUAAGAAAAAAAAUCCAAUGUGACCUUUAUUCAGUAGCAUUUUCAGGGGAGUUCCCGUCGUGGCGCAGUGGUUAACGAAUCCGACUAGGAACCAUGAGGUUGCGGGUUCGGUCCCUGCCCUUGCUCAGUGGGUUAACGAUCCGGCGUUGCCGUGAGCUGUGGUGUAGGUUGCAGACGCGGCUCGGAUCCCGCGUUGCUGUGGCUCUGGCGUAGGCCGGUGGCUACAGCUCCGAUUCAACCCCUAGCCUGGGAACCUCCAUAUGCCGUGGGAGCGCCCUAAAAAUGGCAGAAAGACAAAAAAAAAAAAAAGAAAGAAAGAAAAAUUCAUUAAUGCCCUCACUAACAGCACAUUACUGUCAAACAGAUAAACUGGGUGCACAGAUUAAUGGAGCACUAAACAUUAUCCACUCAACAAAUGUCUACUGGGCAUGUAGUACCUGGGGUGGCAAACUAUGGCCCAUGGGCCAAGUCCAGCCCAUGGCAUAUUUUUGUACAGCCCUCGAGCUAAGAAUGGGUUCACAUUUUUAAAUGGUCAUGGAAAAAAGUAACAAGAAGAAUUAAAUUUCAUGACACAUGCAAAUUAUGUGAAAUUCAAAUUUCAGUGUCUAUAAAUAAAGUUUUAUUGGCCCGCAGCCAUGUCUAUUCCAGCAUGCAUCAGCUGAGGCUGCUUUUCAGCUUCAUGGCUGAGCUGAGGAGCUGCGCCAGAGACCCUCAAGUCUGCACAGCCUAAAUCGCUUACUUCCUGCAGUGCCUGCUGAGGGCUGCGGUGUGUGUGAGGUCUGGGUGGGGGCUGCAGGGAGAGGUCACUGUGUCCUGCAGGGCAGGCGGGAGCUGGUGCCGAGCCAGGAGGGAGUGCUGGGGGCCUUCCAAGGGCUGC
rnacentral:lncRNA from 1 species